UACAGAGGUCCCGAGCGUUGUUCGGAUUCAUUGGGCGUAAAGGGUGCGUAGGCGGCUUUGUAAGUCAGUGGUGAAAUAUGGCAGCUCAACUGUCAAGGUGCCAUUGAUACUGAAGAUCUUGAGUUCGGGAGAGGUGAGUGGAACUGCGAGUGUAGAGGUGAAAUUCGUAGAUAUUCGCAAGAACACCAGUGGCGAAGGCGGCUCACUGGCCCGAUACUGACGCUGAGGCACGAAAGCGUGGGGAGCAAACAGG
rnacentral:rRNA from 1 species